rnacentral:tRNA from 3 species
GUUGAGGUGGCAGAGCCUGGUAAAUGCAAAAGACCUAAGUCCUUUAAUCCAGAGGUUCAAAUCCUCUCCUCAAUU